rnacentral:tRNA from 1 species
GCUAGGGUUCCCGAGCUUGGUCAAAGGGGAGUGACUUAAGAUCAUUUGCAUUAUGCUUCGUGGGUUCAAAUCCCACCUCUAGNA